rnacentral:rRNA from 1 species
UACAGGGGGUGCAAACGUUGCUCGGAAUCAUUGGGCGUAAAGCGCACGUAGGCGGUUCGUUAUGUCGGAUGUGAAAGCCCUUGGCUUAACCGAGGAAGUGCAUCCGAAACUGGCGAGCUAGAGUACGAAAGAGGAUCGCGGAAUUCCCGGUGUAGAGGUGAAAUUCGUAGAUAUCGGGAGGAACACCAGUGGCGAAGGCGGCCACCUCGGAGCGGACACUGACGCUGAGACGGCGAAAGCGUGGGGAGCAAACAGG